rnacentral:lncRNA from 1 species
CGUCUGCCCUCAAUUCUAAAAAUAGAAUUGAGAUGAUUAAUUAGAUAUCACCUGUGAAAUUUAAUCGUUUAUACAAGGAUUGCAAAGCAUGUAAACAACAGAACUUCCAAUGUGUUGAAUGAUGCUUCCUAUCCUUGCUCCUUGAUUCAAGAUGAAUCAAGACCUUCGAUCGUUGUUGCUAGACCUCCGAUUCCAGCCCCUUUGUUGAAGAAUCUUCCGUUCUUCAAACCCUCGGCCCGACUGAUCUCAAACACAACGAGUCGAACCCGAAUCCUU